CAGGUAGGUGGUCUCAUUUGUCUGGGGUGAAAGCCUUGGGCUUAACCCAAGAAGUGCCUCGGAAACGGUGAGACUUGAGUACUGGAGAGGGUCGUGGAAUUCCCGGUGUAGCGGUGAAAUGCGUAAAAGAUCGGGAGGAACACCAGCGGCGAAGGCGGCGACCUGGACAGUUACUGACACUCAACUGCGAAAGCGUGGGGAGCAAACA
rnacentral:rRNA from 1 species